GAUGAACGCUGGCGGCGUGCCUAAUACAUGCAAGUCGAGCGAACAGACGAGGAGCUUGCUCCUCUGACGUUAGCGGCGGACGGGUGAGUAACACGUGGAUAACCUACCUAUAAGACUGGGAUAACUUCGGGAAACCGGAGCUAAUACCGGAUAAUAUAUUGAACCGCAUGGUUCAAUAGUGAAAGACGGUUUUGCUGUCACUUAUAGAUGGAUCCGCGCCGCAUUAGCUAGUUGGUAAGGUAACGGCUUACCAAGGCGACGAUGCGUAGCCGACCUGAGAGGGGGAUCGGCCACACUGGAACUUAGACACGGUCCAGACUCCUACGGGAGGCAGCAGUAGGGAAUCUUCCGCAAUGGGCGAAAGCCUGACGGAGCAACGCCGCGUGAGUUAUGAAGGUCUUCGGAUCGUAAAACUCUGUUAUUAGGGAAGAACAAAUGUGUAAGUAACUAUGCACGUCUUGACGGUACCUAAUCAGAAAGCCACGGCUAACUACGUG
rnacentral:rRNA from 1 species